rnacentral:lncRNA from 1 species
GUCAUGGUUGCAUUGUGGAUAUCACCUGACAACUUCAAUUGUAGCCCCUGCCCUUCUAAGUCUUCCCUAUGCACUUUCCUUGAUGGGUUGGUUUGCUGGGGCUUUAUGCCUCACCAUUUCAGCUCUUGUAACGUUCUACUCCUACAACCUUCUGUCCUUGGUUUUAGAACACCAUGACCAGCUUGGCAUGCGCCAGCUUCGAUUCCGAGACAUGGCCAGAGAUAUUUUGGGUGAGUACUGUUUAUAGCUGCCCUCUUCCCCUUGAGAUUCCUCUUAAAUGUAAAUUGUCCUGUGAUUUGAGGCAAAAUUAUUAAUAUUGCAAGAAAGAAAAAUGAUAUGAGCAUGCAUGGUCUAAUUUUACAGGACCAGGGUGGGGAAGAUACUUUGUUGGUCCAAUUCAAUUUGGCUUGUGCUAUGGUGCAGUUAUAGCUUGCAUUCUUCUGGGAGGGCAGAGCCUUAAGGUGAUAAUCAGUUUAAUAUUUCUGUCGAAAUUUCCCCUACCCCGCAUUUUUUCAAACUUUUGUUUUGUGAUCUUUUACAAGAACACUGAAUUAUGAACUUAAAAUUUAUCAAGUUUAAUUUUAAUUUUAAUUUCUUUGAAGUCUGGAAGUUAUGUCAAGCAGCAGUAGCUUGCCAAACAAUUGAAGUAGUAGUUUGUUUGCAGAUUAUUUGGGAUGUUUACUGAAUUUUAAUUUUCUUUUGCUUUUCCCACAUAUAAUUCUUCUUCUACAAGUAUAUAUAUUUGCUUUCUAGUUCAAGACCAGAAGCCAUGCAACUCUACCAAUUUGUUAUUAUUUUUGGUGUCCUGAUGCUGGUGUUGGCACAAAUUCCAUCCUUCCACUCCUUGAGGCAUAUCAACCUUGUCUCUCUAAUCCUUUGUCUUGCAUAUAGCAUCUGUGCCACAGCUGGUUCCGUAUAUAUCGGUAAGAAAUCACAAAAUAAUUUCUUUACAUUAUUAGGAAUGUAUAACUUGUGAUCAGUUUAAUUAAUUGACUUCCAUGCUCAUAGGAAAUUCGACUAAUGCUCCUAGGAAGGACUACUCUUUAAAUGGAAGUGGACAGAAUCGUGUUUUUGGAUCCUUCAACGCUAUUUCAAUCAUCGCAACCACGUAUGGAAAUGGCAUUAUUCCAGAAAUACAGGUUUUCCAAUUGCUUUAUUACUUGAGGGAAAAACGGAAAGGUCGUACCCAGUGCACAAGGCUCCCGCUUUACGCAGGGUCUGGGAGAGGUGAAUGUCGGCUAACCUUACCCCCAUUUUAUGGAGAGGCUGCUCCCAAGUCUCGAACCCGAGACCUACCGCUCAUGGGCGAAGGCACUUGCCAUCGCACCAAGUGCGACCUCUACUUGAGGGAAAAACGGAAAAGAAAAAAAAAAAGACAACGGAAUCCUAUUAUUUCGAAUUUAUUGUUUGCUUUUGAUCUUAUGCAGUGAUAAAAGAUAGAGGUCAAACAUUGUUCAGCAGAAUCAGUAAAUUCUCACUUAAUGGGGCAAUUUAUAUGUUUGCAGGCAACAAUAGCACCUCCAGUUAAAGGGAAAAUGUUCAAAGGAUUAUGCGUAUGCUAUGCUGUUGUACUUUCGACAUUUUUCAGUGUUGGUAUCUCGGGUUAUUGGGCGUUUGGAAAUCAGGCCAAAGGAACAAUUCUGCUCAAUUUUUUAGUUGAUGGAAAGCCUCUGUUGCCAACUUGGGUUCUAUUGAUGACCAAUGUUUUCACCUUCUUGCAAGUAUCAGCUGUUAGUGUGGUAAGUCUUCCAAUCUGCUUCACAACACCAAGAAUGAAUCGUAAAGACUACAUUCAGUGGAUGAUACAAAACUUGAUCGGUUCUGCAGGUUUACUUACAACCAACAAAUGAAGUACUUGAACGCAAGUUUGCGAAUGCAAAGGUUGAUCAAUUCUCUGUUCGCAAUGUUGUGCCAAGGUUGGUUUAUCGAUCUCUGUCUGUGGUCAUAGCCACAACUGUUGCAGCUAUGUUUCCAUUCUUUGGCGACAUCAACGCUCUGAUUGGAGCAUUUGGAUGCAUUCCUCUGGACUUCAUUUUGCCAAUGGUGUUCUACAAUGUUGUGUUCAAGCCCUCCAAGUACAGCUUACUUUUCUGGGGAAACACAAUCAUUGCCACAACAUUUUCUGCUCUAGGACUGUUGGGUGCAAUAUCUUCAAUCCGACAGAUCGUUCUUGAUUCUAACACGUACAGUUUUUUUGCUAACAUAUAAACUAUAAUGUAGGACUGCUUCAAAAUCCUGUCGCAAGUUUGUAAACGGCAUUUUGAACUGUUUAUCUGCUUCUUUUCUUUUUUUUCUCAUGUGCAUUACUUAUUAUAUAUCGUUGAUCAGAUGUUUCUCUAUGAACAUUAUGAAUCAAAGUUUAAUUAGGUUUGAAGAAGGGGGUACUUGAAAAUUAAUCAACUGACUGCGAUCACAGAAGCUAAUCUGCAACCUAAGUAGUCAAACUAAUUAAGCUAGCUAGCUGAAACAAAGUCUUCCAUGGCAAUUUUUAUUACUUGCAAGUUGGUUGAUUAGUUCAUGAUACAUUCCUUAUCCUCAGAGCCAGAGGACACGUUGCGGCAAAGUUAAUGACCUAGAGUAAAAAUGAGAUACUCUUAACAGGCUGUUCGAUAACUAUUGUUUUUCAAUUUUUAUUUUUUAACUGACAACGAAAUAGUCAUGAGCGAACCAGACAGAUUGCCACUUUAUAUGGGAUAAGAUACAUGAUGGUUCAGUUGUCACAAGGUAUGCUCCCUCUUCACACCAACUUACAGAUGUAUUCACAAAAGCAUUGGAAGGAAACUUUCUCAAGGAUUAUACACAAGUUGGGAGUUCUCAACAUCCACUCUUCAACUUGAGGGGGAGUUUUGAGAAGUCAAUGAUAUCAUUCCUGAUAUCUUGGCUUAGUUUGGGAAAAAAAUCAACGAUACCAUUCCGGAUAUCUUGGCUUAAUUUGGUAAACGAAUUUGUAAUUUGUUUGUAAUUGAUUUGUAAACCUCGAAUGUAGGCUAGAUUACUUCUUUGUCAAGAGUUCCUCUUUGUAUAACUUUUUUUGUAUCAAUAGAAGAAAGUUACUUCAGCAAAAGAUAUUCCCUUCGUUAUUUUACACACACACAUAUAUAUAUAUAUGCUUGUUAGAUAUACAAGUGAAAAGGUAGUAUUUCAAAUUUUCAGGGACUACGAAGGCUAAACUACGAUAUGCUACAAAAACUGAGGAGAUUGAUGCUUGCAAAAAAAUCAGAGUUGUCAUGGGAAUCAUCAGAUGAUGAAUCUGACUUGUCUGCAUACAUUGACAUAGACAUAUCAGAUGGCAUUGAACACCUGAUGGGCUCCAACUAUUUCAAGGAAGAAGUUGGAGAUAAUCUACAUGCAGAUUAUCCUGGAAGGUCUCUGCAGUCGCAAUCCAAUAUAAUUUGACCUAAAAAUCUGUUUAGAUCAAUCACGGCUCAAUAGUCCUAAUGCAUUUGUAACUGUAUAUAUAAAUAAUCAUCCAUCAUCAACAUAUGUAGUCUUUUCUUUAACAAGAUAUCUAAAGUGGAUACAAGAAUUAUGUGAUAAAAAAAUCAGACAAUGGCUAAGAAAGAGUGUGUAUAUAUUGAACUCGCCAUUCAUGAAAUUCAAUUAGACGUGGUUGUUAAAUGGAGUCAUCACGUCCUCGAAAGUUCAAAACAAAAAAAUACAUGGGAAAAAAUGCAUUUGGAUGAUAGGAAAAUGAUUGUUUAAAUCUACCAAUGAUUAUUGUGGGAUGCUAGUCAAAUCCAUUGCCUUCUUUGUCAAAUCUGAGACUAGAGUGAAGCCGCCUUUGUUGAACUGUAGUCAUCAAAUAGCUAAACAAAUAUCUAAGUGUUCAGUUUUUCAACUGUAAUAUAUUUUCUUUGCUAAAAGACGACAGUGACUUAUAAACAAGCAAAGUGUUUGUCUUGCUUUAUCCAAAGUGUUUAUCUUGCUUACCAUUUAUUUUUCCAAAUCGGGGAAAAUAUUUGGUUGUCAAUUAUAUUAAGAUCGUGUUGCAGCGAUAUUGUUUAUCCAAACGCAGACCAAAAUAACCUGAUAGCUAGAGAGCUAUGGAGUCAAUUCUUCCCAUUUCAAAUACUGAUUUAUCAGCAGAAAAUAAGGAAGAUGAAGAAGCCAACAUUUCAAAGGAGCUUGAUGCUGGAGCUUUAUUUGUGCUCAAAUCUAGAGGUAUUGAUUCUCUCUUUGUGUCAUACGAAGGAAUUAAGAUAUCUAGUGAUCACACAGAAAUAUGAUUCUCUCUCUCUCUCUCUCUCUCUCUCUCUCUCUCUCUCUCUCUCUCUCUAUGGAAGUGAAUUGGAAUGAAUGAAAUGGUUCGACUGCAAACACGUUUAUAAUUUUAUAGACAACGAGAGGGUACCUGACAUGCCCCAAUCCCAAAGUCCAAGAGACAUCGGGAUGGCCACGUGCUGGCCGACACUCAAGGGUGACGAAAGCCAUUUAAUAAAUGCAUAUGCCGAGAACAUGUGAAGCAUGCAUAUAAAUUUUGCGAGUUACUACGCAAAGUAAUAUGCAAAUAUAAGUCCUACAAAAUACCAUAAUAAUAUUCAACUGCCAACAAUGAAUAUAAUGAUAAUGCAUGACAUGUUCAGGGCAUACAACUAAUCCAGAGUACAAGCGUAAGGUAAAAUAGCAGUGUUCUAAAAAACGCCCUAGGCGGUGCCCAGGCGCUGGGCGGUGGAGUGCCAUCGGGAUUAAUGCCAAAUCGUUCAUAAAAUUGGGUACGGGUUAGUCGGCCGCCUAGGCGGUAUCUAGGCGGCUGUCUAGGCGGCCUCGUCGGAGCCUCGGCGGUUCUCCGUUCUGCUGCGAUCUAGCGAGAAGAAAGAGGGCGACUGAAAAUCUCGUCGGAGCCGCAUCGAUGUUGCUUGAUAGUUGGGUUUUUUGGAAUUCUUUCGGGUUUUUGGGUUGAAGGUUAAGGGUUUGAAGUAGCUUUUGGAGAUGGUGGGAGAGGUCUGAUGAUGGGAGAUAUGAGAGAAGAAGAAGCAGCGCUAAAAGACAGAGAGGAGGCGAUGGAAACAAAGCUGACUGCAAGAAGAGAGAGAGAGAGAGAGAGUUGUUUACCAAAAAGUAGAGAGAGAGGUGACUACAAUAAUAGAGAAAACCAAAAAGUAGAGAGUUGACUACAAUAAUAGAGUAACAAAGCUGAUGCGGUAGAAGACAUGAGUAGAAAAAGAAAAUAAAGUGUGGGGUGGGUUGGGUUAGGCUGGGCAGGGCCAGCCCAUUUAUAUAUGCUUACAAUCUUAUUAAAUUUUAAAUGAUGGAUUGAAUACAAAUUUAUUCAAUUGUGGGAUGAAUGUAUUUUGUGUAUUCUUCUACUUCUAUUUUUACAUUUUAUUAUUUUUCUAUCAUCCAUACAAGUAAAGUUUUUUUUAAGUGUAAAUAAGCACGUAUUUACAAGAUAUAUAAUAAAUUUAUAUAAAUCCGCCUAGGCGCUAGGCCCCUGCCCGCCGCCCGACUAGCGCCUAGUGUUUUUUAGAACCUUGUAAAAUAGAGAGGUGCUAUUACAAUAUAUGCGAAGCAGAGAGGAUGAUAAGAUAUCAUUAGUAGGGGAAUGCCUCGUGGCUCGGAUCGUAUGCCUAGUUCCUUUGUCUUGAGGGGGUGCAAAACAAACAUAAGUAGAUCAAAUUGAUAUAUAUAUAUAUAUAUAUAAUACUGAAACAAUUAUUCAAUAACGUACUAACCCCCAAAGUUUUAUGAAAACUCAAUAGCAUAAUAUGUAAUAGGUUUUCCGAAAAACCCUAGCAUGCCAUAAAACUUUUCAUAAAACAUAUAUAGUAUAGUGUGCUAAAUAGUGGUAUCAUAAUCGACCCGAAGGCCCCUACAUCACCCGACCCGUAGGCCAAAUAUAUAUAUCUUCAUUCGACCCGUAGGCCCCUACACCACCUGACCUGCAUGCCAAUAUAAUAUCUCCUUACCCGUAAGCCCCUACAUUACCCAACAGAAGCCAAUAUAAGUAUCGUUGCCCGUAGGUAGAACAGUGACCACUAGAUACGCACAAAACAUUGAAUAUAAUCUUUCCAAGCAUAGGUACGUAUAUCUCAAAACACACAUAGCCAUCCAUCAUAUAUACUACAAAGAAGUGUAAAAACAUAUUCAUAAAUAGUAUAUAGCCAUCCAUCAUAUAUGCUACAAACAACAUAAUUUCAUAAAGUAUGGUAUUCCAAAAUAUUCUCAGUAAAGCAUGAUAAUCAUAAGGUGUAAAUCUAAUUUACUCAUGAAACGUUUCAUAAAACGUAACCAUUUAAUCAUGUUUUUCAUGUAUGCAUUUCUACUAUUAAACCAUGUAGUUUAGAAAAGGUCCACUCACAAAUACUCUGUCGUCGAAGAGCCGUACAAAAUAGGUUGGACGAAAACACCGCUAAUAAUUGCACCUAAGCACAUAAAGGAUCCAAUUAAUAAAAUUAUACUCAAACGAUUGAAUUUCUUAAAACAGUCAUCAUAAACAGAUUCAAGACGUCGAAAAACAUAAAGGGGGACCUCGGGUACCCCCACGCACCACCCCACACGCCCUCACGCGCCGACGUGCGUCGCCGACGCCACUGUGGAUGAUGGCGUGUGUACUCCACGUGCCGACAUCGGCAGGCACUCAUGCGCAGACUCACGUGCGGCUGGGCUUAGGGUUUGGAUUGGGUUUGGGCCUAGGCUUAGGUUUGGGUUCCUUGGGCCGAAGGCCUGGGGUCUGAAGGGUUUUGGGUUCAACGGGCCUAGGCUUGAUAGGCCGACCCAAAGGUUUAGUGGGUUGGGUUCCAACGAGUUGGAGGCUCGGUUUGGCGCGGCCUGAAGGGCCAAGUUUCAAGGGCCUUGGGCUUGUAAGCCCAACCCUAAAGGAUUUGGGUUUGGGUUGCUCAGUGGGCCGAACCCUUUAGGUCUUGGGCUAAAGGGUGUGGGUCAACCAACCCGUUUCUCGUCGGGAACAAAGGUCGGAGCCUCCUGAGCUCCGGUCGACGUCAACAUGUAAACCUAGGCUACGAUCGACCUAUGAAAACGAAGGUAGAUGUGAGAGGAAGAGGUUUGUACCUAAGAUUCGUCGUGAAAUGGCCGGAGGUGAGAGGGAGAGGUUUGUAUUUGUUGUUAAAUUGAAGAGUUUAAUUGAGGGUGAUGAUGAUGAUGACGACGACGACGGUGAUGAUAUGUAUGUAGGGUCAUGGUUGCAUUGUGGAUAUCACCUGACAACUACAAUUGUAGCUCCUGCACUUUUAAGUCUUCCCUAUGCACUUUCCUUGAUGGGUUGGUUUGCUGGGGCUUUAUGCCUCACCAUUUCAGCUCUUGUAACGUUCUACUCCUACAACCUUCUGUCCUUGGUUUUAGAGCACCAUGAACAGCUUGGCAUGCGCCAGCUCCGAUUCCGUGACAUGGCCAAAGAUAUUUUAG